UUGGGAAUUUUGCACAAUGGAGGCAACUCUGAUGCAGCAACACUGCGUGAAGGAUGAAGGUUUUCGGAUUGUAAACUUCUUUUAUCAGGGAAUAAUCUUGAAGGUACCUGAUGAAUAAGCACCGGCUAACUACGUGCCAGCAGCCGCGGUAAUACGUAGGGUGCAAACGUUAUCCGGAUUUAUUGGGCGUAAAGAGCUCGUAGGUGGUUUUGUAAGUUGAAUAUUAAAUCUUCCGGCUCAACCGGGAAACCGUAUUCAAAACUGCAAGACUAGAGGUAUGUAGGGGCAGAUGGAACUUACGGUGUAGCGGUAAAAUGCGUAGAUAUCGUAAGGAACGCCGAUGGUGAAGACGAUCUGCUGGACAUCACCUGACACUGAGGAGCGAAAGCGUGGGUAGCGAUCGGG
rnacentral:rRNA from 1 species